CUACGGGUGGCAGCAGUGAGGAAUAUUGCACAAUGGGGGGAACCCUGAUGCAGCAACGCCGCGUGGAGGAUGACGCAUUUCGGUGUGUAAACUCCUUUUAUAUGUCAAGAAAAUGACGGUAGCAUAUGAAUAAGCACCGGCUAACUCCGUGCCAGCAGCCGCGGUAAUACGGAGGGUGCAAGCGUUACUCGGAAUCACUGGGCGUAAAGGGCGCGUAGGCGGGUUGGAAAGUCAGGUGUGAAAUCCUACAGCUUAACUGUAGAACUGCACUUGAAACUGCUAAUCUAGAGUAUGGGAGGGGGAGAUGGAAUUAGUGGUGUAGGGGUAAAAUCCGUAGAUAUCACUAGGAAUACCUAAAGCGAAGGCGAUCUCCUGGAACAUUACUGACGCUAAGGCGUGAAAGCGUGGGGAGCAAACAGGAUUAGAUACCCUUGUAGUC
rnacentral:rRNA from 1 species